ACCAACAGGGAUUGCCCCAGUAACGGCGAGUGAAGCGGCAACAGCUCAAAUUUGAAAUCUGGCUCUCAGGGCCCGAGUUGUAAUUUGUAGAGGAUGCUUUUGGCGAGGUGCCUUCCGAGUUCCCUGGAACGGGACGCCACAGAGGGUGAGAGCCCCGUAUGGUCGGACACCGAGCCUCUGUAAAGCUCCUUCGACGAGUCGAGUAGUUUGGGAAUGCUGCUCAAAAUGGGAGGUAUAUGUCUUCUAAAGCUAAAUAUUGGCCAGAGACCGAUAGCGCACAAGUAGAGUGAUCGAAAGAUGAAAAGCACUUUGAAAAGAGGGUUAAAAAGUACGUGAAAUUGUUGAAAGGGAAGCGCCUAUGACCAGACUUGCGCCCGGUGAAUCACCCAGCGUUCUCGCUGGUGCACUUUGCCGGGCACAGGCCAGCAUCAGUUCAGCGCGGGGGAGAAAGGCUUCGGGAAUGUGGCUCCCUCGGGAGUGUUAUAGCCCGCUGCGUAAUGCCCUGCGCCGGACUGAGGUACGCGCAUUGCAAGGAUGCUGGCGUAAUGGUCAUCAGCGACCCGUCUUGAAACACGGACCAAGGAGUCGUCUUCGUAUGCGAGUGUUCGGGUGUCAAACCCCUACGCGUAAUGAAAGUGAACGUAGGUGAGAGCUUCGGCGCAUCACCGACCGAUCCUGAUGUUCUCGGAUGGAUUUGAGUAAGAGCAUACGGGGCCGGACCCGAAAGAAGGUGAACUAUGCCUGUAUAGGGUGAAGCCAGAGGAAACUCUGGUGGAGGCUCGCAGCGGUUCUGACGUGCGAAUCGAUCGUCAAAUAUGGGCAUGGGGGCGAAAGACUAAUCGAACCUU
rnacentral:rRNA from 4 species